rnacentral:misc_RNA from 1 species
AAAACGGUCUCGGAGGGUAUAUGAGAAGGGAGCAAAUCCGGCCGAGCCUGAAAGGGCGAGGGAAAACCGGACGAGCAACCUCUCGUACCUGAUCUUGAAGACUUCCACUGCGUGUCCCUCUGUACAGCUUUGCAGGCUCCGGCCUCGGCAGCGGGGGGUUCAUAGUGGUCGUCGACCUCCACGAAACUGCACGCUCCGGCGUGACAGCGUACUGGGGAUGCCUGUGUUUACGCAGUCCGGGCUUGCCUGGACCGCCAGCAGAUGGGCUCUGUGGAUGACUGGCCGCUGGCUAGACCUGAAACCUGAGCAACGGGAGGUAACCUCUCGCCGCGGACACCGGAAUGGUAGAAGCGGCGUGCUGCGUCCUCCUCUUGGGGCCCCUAAGCCACACCUCCCACAGCGGGUUCGGUGCGGCGGA